ACACAAAAAUUCAGUUAAAAAAAGCUGAGGCUGUCCUAGUGGCAUAGGGGAGCAUAGGGCACUGCCCCAUGAUGUACAGUCCCCUUCCACAAUGUUAGAGGUGAAACUGGGCUCCCAUUCUGCACCUGCACAUUCAACUUCCCAGAGUCCUGGACAAUGACUAGGGAGACAAACCAUGCAGGAAACAAGA
rnacentral:snoRNA from 1 species